rnacentral:rRNA from 1 species
GAUGAACGCUGGCGGCGUGCCUAAUACAUGCAAGUAGAACGCUGAAGGAGGAGCUUGCUCUUCUGGAUGAGUUGCGAACGGGUGAGUAACGCGUAGGUAACCUGCCUGGUAGCGGGGGAUAACUAUUGGAAACGAUAGCUAAUACCGCAUGACAACAGUUAUUGCAUGAUAACUGUUUAAAAGGGGCAACUGCUCCACUACCAGAUGGACCUGCGUUGUAUUAGCUAGUUGGUGAGGUAACGGCUCACCAAGGCGACGAUACAUAGCCGACCUGAGAGGGUGAUCGGCCACAAUGGGACUGAGACAAGGCCCAGACUCCUACGGGAGGCAGCAGUAGGGAAUCGUCGGCAAUGGACGGAAGUCUGACCGAGCAACGCCGCGUGAGUGAAGAAGGGUUUCGGAUCGUAAAGCUCUGUUGUAAGAGAAGAACGAGUGUGAGAGUGGAAAGUUCACACUGUGACGGUAUCUUACCAGAAAGGGACGGCUAACUACGUG